rnacentral:rRNA from 1 species
ACUACGGGCGGCUGCAGUGAGGAAUAUUGGUCAAUGGGCGUAAGCCUGAACCAGCCAAGUCGCGUGAGGGAUGAAGGUUCUAUGGAUCGUAAACCUCUUUUAUAAGGGAAUAAAGUGUGGGACGUGUCCUAUUUUGUAUGUACCUUAUGAAUAAGGAUCGGCUAACUCCGGGGCAGCAGCCGCGGUAAUACGGAGGAUCCGAGCGUUAUCCGGAUUUAUUGGGUUUAAAGGGUGCGUAGGCGGCCUUUGAAGUCAGCGGUGAAAGUCUGGGGCUCAACCCUAGAAUUGCAGUUGAAACUGGGGGGCUUGAGUAUGUUUGAGGCAGGCGGAAUGCGUGGUGUAGCGGUGAAAUGCUUAGAUAUCACGCAGAACCCCGAUUGCGAAGGCAGCCUGCCAAGCCAUGACUGACGCUGAUGCACGAAAGCGUGGGGAUCAAACAGGAUUAGAUACCCCGGUAGUC